rnacentral:rRNA from 1 species
UGAUCCAGCCAUGCCGCGUGGUGUGAAGAAGGUCUUCGGAUUGUAAAGCACUUUAAGUUGGGAGGAAGGGCAGUAGGCUAAUACCUUGCUGUUUUGACGUUACCGACAGAAUAAGCACCGGCUAACUCUGUGCCAGCAGCCGCGGUAAU